rnacentral:lncRNA from 1 species
AGCUGGAAGAAACGAAGAACCUCAACAAUUUUUAUUUCUACUUUUGAUCAAGGAAAAGCGUAUUUAGAAGGUUCGCUAGAGAAAAAUUUAGCAGUUUGGAGGAUUGAGAUCCUUUGGCAGAGAUAUGGGAGUGUGAGCAGGAAAUAUUUUUUUAAAGGAAGAGCUGGUGUUUUAGGAUGUCAAAGGUACAAAUUAUGAUGGUGCCAUGGUUGACAGAAAUUUGCAAGAUCUCCGUAUCUACAUGAACUCUUUGCUCCUGACUAUUAGCUGACUGGUCCAGAAAUUCUUGAUCCAAGCUUGAUAUGUAAGCUUCUCUCUCCUGUGAAUAUGGCACUGAGAGACACAAGAUUAGAAGCCCUGGGUGCUGAUCAAACUCAUAGCAAGGAAGAGUGGUGGCUCAAGACUGCCUGCUCCUGAGACUUCUGAGAAGGGUGUCUCUCUGUCUGUGUGGAUGCCUGAUGCUUCUGGUAUUUCACAAAUCUUGAGCCUGGCCAGGAGUUUACUAACAGGCACCCCUGUGUCAUCUGAACAAGUAACUGGAAGAACCUAACACAGACACCUGUAGGGCAGGACUCCUUAUUUUCUGACUCCCUGGCUCUGACCACAGAUAAAUAUCCCGCAGUGGAAUCAGCCUUCCCAGGGACCUCCCUGGACUCUGAGAAGUGAUUAAAGGGACUGUGCGGCAGUCAUGGGGAUGCAAGCAGCUGUGGCCAUCAAACUGGUUCUAACAGACAGUAUGAGAUCUUCAUGAUUCUGGACCAUAAGGAUUCCAAAUAGGCUGUUCACUUAUGAGUAGGCCUGUAACACGGACGUGUGAGAAUAAACGCCAGAGAAAAAUUUUUGUGGCUGGUCUACUUGUGGGUACAAAGGCCCAGACCCAUUGUUUCAACUGGAGACCUGUGAAGGGCGAUCCCAGCCUCAGAACCUCGCAUGGGAUGGACUCAGUACUCUGCUGCAACUGCAUUUCAGUUUAACUUCUCCCUUUACCCAGUCCUAACUUCCUUAUUCCCUAAAAAAUGUUUCUGGGAGUGCUCCUCAGUAAACUUCAUGCAUAAACACUUCAGAGGCUCAGAGUAUGUUUCCUGGAGAAUUCCAUCUGUGGCGUUUCCUCUUCAUGCCUACUGCCACCAUCCAGGUUUAGGCCCCCAUUACCGCUUACCUGGAAUAUUGCAAAAGCUUUAUCACUAUUCUCUUUGCUCACUGGCUCUCCUAUAAUCAGUCUACACAACAGCAGACUAAUUUUUUUUAUCCCAGAUCAUAGCUCUUAUGCUGUUUUCCUGCUCAAAAACUUUGGUGGCCCCCCAGUCUAUUUAAUUAGGUUCUUACUCCUUAUUGUGAUUUUCAAGACCCUUCCCAAUUUAGCCCCCACUAUUUUCAGCUCUCAUCUUCUACUCCAGUAUAAGUAUGCUCCGCUCCAUUUAAACUAGAACAUUUGCAAUCCUCCAAAUCUACUGUAAAAAUUCAUUUUUCCUAUAUUUGUUCCAAAUGUUCUCUUCUAUUAUCUUCUUUAUAAAAUUUGAACCAUAUUUCAAGGUCCAUUCUCCUUUUUCUUUUUCAUUUUUUUUCUAGAUGGAGUCUCGCACUGUCGCCCAGGCUAGAGUGCAGUGGCGCGAUCUCGGCUUACUGCAACCUCCGCCUCCUGGGUUCAAGCGAUUCUCCUGCCUCAGCCUUCCGAGUAGCUGGGAUUACAGGUGCCCCCCACCACACCCAGCUAAUUUUUGUAUUUUUAGUAGAGACGGGAUUUCACUGUAUUGGCCAGGCUGGUCUCAAACUCCUAACCUUGUGAUCUACCCACCUCGGCCUCCCAAAGUGCUGGGAUUACAGGCGUGAGCCACUGCUCCUGGCCAGGCUUAAGGUCCAUUGUGAGAGCAAUAUUCAUUCUUGGCAUACCUGUAUCAAUGUAUCUUAUGUACCCCAUAAAUAUAUAUCCCUACUAUGUGACCAAAAAAAUUAAAAAUAAAAUAAAAAUUUAAAACCCAUACAUUCUCCAUGCAGAUUUUCCUCGUACCUCAACCCAAUGUCAUCUCUUCUUCAUUAGUUAUCCCAAUGCAGUUUGUACUUCUCCUUGGUAUCUAUUGAUUAUAUUUACUGUGUGUCAAUUUCACCAUUUUACCUCUCUUCCCUAUCCUUUCACCUGCACUGAUAGAAUGUAACUGUGAGAGCAAGAUUUUACCUCAAUCAUCUUUGUAUCACUUGAAACAAGAAGCAUCAUCCUUAAUCCUGGAGUUCAAUAAAUCAUUAAUAAAUUCAAUUGAAUACAAGCUGCCAAUUUGUUUGACAUUUUUGUGAAUGC